GACGAACGCUGGCGGCGUGCUUAACACAUGCAAGUCGAACGGAAAGGCCCUGCUUUUGUGGGGUGCUCGAUUGGCGAACGGGUGAGUAACACGUGAGUAACCUGCCCUUGACUUUGGGAUAACUUCAGGAAACUGGGGCUAAUACCGGAUAGGAUCUCCUGCUGCAUGGUGGGGGUUGGAAAGUUUCGGCGGUUGGGGAUGGACUCGCGGCUUAUCAGCUUGUUGGUGGGGUAGUUGCUUACCAAGGCUUUGACGGGUAGCCGGCCUGAGAGGGUGACCGGCCACAUUGGGACUGAGGUACGGCCCAGAAUCCUACGGGAGGCAGCAGUGGGGAAUAUUGCACAAUGGGCGGAAGCCUGAUGCAGCAACGCCGCGUGCGGGAUGACGGCCUUCGGGUUGUAAACCGCUUUCGCCUGUGACGAAGCGUGAGUGACGGUAAUGGGUAAAGAAGCACCGGCUAACUACGUG
rnacentral:rRNA from 1 species